UCGUGCUAAGCGGGGAGGUAGCGGUGCCCUGUACUCGCAAUCCGCUAUAGCGAGGCUGAAUUCCUGCUCGAGGUGAUAAGGUUUCAAGGUCUGCCUCACAAGAACAGUGUUGACAUCCAGGUCCUGCGCAAUGAGAAGCAGUGAACCCUGUCAGAUCCGGAAGGAAGCAGCAGUAAGCUGUGCCUCUCGUGUGCCGCGGGAGCGCCUGGAUCGAGCUGUAAUUGUGAGUAACGCUUGGGGUCUUGUCAUCGACAGCAGGUGCACGG
rfam:Salimicrobium flavidum strain DSM 23127 genome assembly, contig: Ga0111645_108